rnacentral:rRNA from 1 species
AAUUACCUUCGGGUAGUUAGUGGCGCACGGGUGCGUAACGCGUGGGAAUCUGCCCCUUGGUUCGGAAUAACAGUUGGAAACGACUGCUAAUACCGGAUGAUGACGUAAGUCCAAAGAUUUAUCGCCGAGGGAUGAGCCCGCGUAGGAUUAGGUAGUUGGUGUGGUAAAGGCGCACCAAGCCGACGAUCCUUAGCUGGUCUGAGAGGAUGAUCAGCCACACUGGGACUGAGACACGGCCCAGACUCCUACGGGAGGCAGCAGUGGGGAAUAUUGGACAAUGGGCGAAAGCCUGAUCCAGCAAUGCCGCGUGAGUGAUGAAGGCCUUAGGGUUGUAAAGCUCUUUUACCCGGGAUGAUAAUGACAGUACCGGGAGAAUAAGCUCCGGCUAACUCCGUGCCAGCAGCCGCGGUAAUACGGAGGGAGCUAGCGUUAUUCGGAAUUACUGGGCGUAAAGCGCACGUAGGCGGCUUUGUAAGUAAGAGGUGAAAGCCCAGAGCUCAACUCUGGAAUUGCCUUUUAGACUGCAUCGCUUGAAUCAUGGAGAGGUCAGUGGAAUUCCGAGUGUAGAGGUGAAAUUCGUAGAUAUUCGGAAGA